AAAAACGACUCUCGGCAACGGAUAUCUCGGCUCACGCAUCGAUGAAGAACGUAGCAAAAUGCGAUACUUGGUGUGAAUUGCAGAAUCCCGUGAACCAUCGAGUUUUUGAACGCAAGUUGCGCCCGAAGCCAUCCGGUUGAGGGCACGCCUGCCUGGGCGUCACGC
rnacentral:rRNA from 1 species